GACGAACGCUGGCGGCGUGCUUAACACAUGCAAGUCGAACGAUGAAGCCGGAGCUUGCUCUGGUGAAUUAGUGGCGAACGGGUGAGUAACACGUGAGUAACCUGCCCUUGACUCUGGGAUAACUGCGGGAAACUGUAGCUAAUACCGGAUACGACCCUCGGAGGCAUCUCCUGGGGGUGGAAAGAAUUUCGGUCAAGGAUGGACUCGCGGCCUACCAGCUAGUUGGUGAGGUAAAGGCUCACCAAGGCGACGACGGGUAGCCGGCCUGAGAGGGUGACCGGCCACACUGGGACUGAGACACGGCCCAGACUCCUACGGGAGGCAGCAGUGGGGAACAUUGCACAAUGGGCGCAAGCCUGAUGCAGCAACGCCGCGUGAGGGAUGACGGCCUUCGGGUUGUAAACCUCUUUUAGCAGGGAAGAAGCGAAAGUGACGGUACCUGCAGAAAAAGCACCGGCUAACUACGUGCCAGCCGCCGCAGUAA
rnacentral:rRNA from 1 species